rnacentral:lncRNA from 1 species
UAGGAUUCCGACGAUCUUACCACAACCAACAAUUGUUAUCUGAGCUCUAUCCUCUAUCGUGUUAUUGAUCGAUUUUGUUCAUUAUUAAUUUGCUGUAGGUUCAAAUGGCAGAGCCACACGUGGGCAAAGGUGGUCCACUAAUUUGGUGUAUGUUCAGGGGUAGAGCCACAUAAGGGAAAGGGUGGUGAUAAGUUUUUUUUUUUCCUUUUCCUGUCAAAUUUCCUUGCAUUGGGUUGUUGAAGUUGAUGCUUGUUUCAUAAAAUUUUCUUUUUGUUAAUGCCCGGUAAGUUGCACAUUAUGUGUUUUAAAAAAUGCAUAAUAUGGUAAACAAUUAAAUCCCGACUUGUAAGUCGAUAAUAUGUGAUUCUUUGUUAAUCUGAAAAUUCAUUGUUGAAAUGCACUUUAGUAUUCACUUUUUUGAACCAUUUUUUCUUUAUACUCAACUACAUAUUUGAUGUGUGUUUAAUGAAACAGGAUACUAUUGGAUGGGAGUUUAAGAGUUCUUUGAUGUGAUUCUUUGUAUUAGUCAUAUUGAAGUUUUUUGUAUGCCUCAUUCUCCUUGUCUUGAACUGCUCAUAUUACUGCAUAAUUGUGCUGUGUUAACAUACAAUUUUUGGCAUGCAUAAAUGUGAAAGCAUUAGCUGAAUAGUAGCUCGUAGUUCGUUUCUUUGUUAUUAUUUCGGACCUGUCGCAACUCGCAACAUCUUUGCAAAUCUACACCAUAUCGUUUUGAUUUUAUCUGGUGUACCGGAAAGGACAAAAUAAAAUUUGGGCUGCGUGGUUGGUGGCGGAACAAUACCCUUCUAUCUGCCUGGUGGCGUUCCGACUACUCCGUCAAGUGUGUGUAACUUGAAAAAUGAAGGCGGGGCUUCCUCUCCCGUUUUACCUCUGGCGUGAAAAUUAGUUUAUAAACUUGAAAAAAAUGCAAUUGGAAUUCAGAUGGCUAAAAAGAGAGAGAGAGAGAGAUCCCCUUACCUGUAUCACAUCCGGGGGUAUUUAUAGAUAUUGGAAGUUGGAUAACCGCUGGGCGGUCGUGGUGCCAUGUGUCCCACGUUGGCAUUCCCACUACCCCCACGUGCUGAGUGGGGGGUCUUUAACUUCCUGCUUGGAGGUUGCGCCCGUAUUAACCGCCAUGGAACCUAGUCAAUUCGCUAGAGGUUUUGUGGCUAAGUGUUUAGAUAAUCGUAUAAGUAAUUCCAUGUCAGUUGAAGACUUCGCGUAGAGGUAGAGCGACCUUGGGGGGGGUCGACGGUCUCGCGUAGCAGUAAAGCGCCCCUUGGGGGUAGUGGUAGAGCGCCCCUGGAGGGGGGUCGACGGCCUCGCGUAGUAGUAGAGCGCCCCUGGGGGGAUGGCCGUGCACGGUGGUAGAGCACCACUUGAGGAUAGUGGUAGAGCAUCCCUUAAGGGUCGGUGGCCUUACAACGAAGUGCAACGAUCCAUCUUGCUUGUCGUCGAGGGUGGCUUCCUCUAACAACCUAUAUCAUUAGCCCCCUUACCCCUUGUCGAUGUUAUCGGCAAGGGGUAGCAAUUUUCUUUAUUCGGUUUGAUUUGAAUUUUUUUUUAAAUGAUAAAUGAGUAGUUCGUAUUAGCAAGUCGAGCAAUGCAAUCGAAAUCAAGUAGCAAUUUUACUGUAUACAUGGCACCCCAUCAAUGGUCCUAACGUUGGAGGGAAUUUUCCCCCCAAAAAAGUUUGAAUUCUUGUGUCUAUAAAAGGGAGAUGAUUUCUACUUCAAAGAAUCACUCUCAUUUUCUCACAACAUCCUAGGCUUUCUCCUUCCUAAGGUAAUUUUCUCUCUUUUUCAAUCCAAAGUCUUGCUUUGAAUUUGUUAUCUUCAUCUUUUUUUGUUGCCAUGUAUAAGACAUUUCUUUCUUCUCCUUCCAAUGAGAAUAGUGAUGGGGGUGUGGUGACUCGACCGGACUUUCGUCGGAGGGUAUCGGAGGGGGUCCGACCAGCCUACGGGGGGCCGACCGGUGACCAGCAGGGCUGGCCCCAUGGUUGGUCGACACGAUUGACCAGCUGUCGACUAUUGUCGACCAACCAUAGGACUGGUCGAGCGACGGCCAACCUUUGGGCUGGCCGUCCCUUGACUUUUCCUGAGCUUCGUAGCCCAUUCGGCCCUUCGACCUGACUCGUUAGUAACUCGCCCCCUUCGCCCGGUAGAUCUCUUUAUGACAUUGAUAGUGAAACUCAUUCAAUGGAUUCUCAGGCGUUUGUCCCAAAUUCCCUAAAGUGGCAUAUUAGUUCUACCAAAUUUUCGAACCAAAAUUUAGAAAUUGGGCAAGACCCGGCUGGUGAGGUUGUCUCCCUAGAUAUCCCAAAAAGUUAUAAUCUCUACAAUUUCCCACUUAAGUUGGAAAAAUGUCUAGGUAAGUAUGACCGAGUUGAUGAUUACAUCUAUAGAGCCCCAGGUCCUAAAGAAAGACUCCCUAGGUUUGACCCCGCGAGGUAGCCGUGUACAAGGCUGUUAUGGACGGGGGUUUUCAGUUCUCCAUUCAUCCCUUUUUUGUGUUAAUUUUCAAUGAGUUUCACCUUACUCCUAGUCAAAUUAAUCCCAACGCUUGGAGAAAGGCGUUAUAUUUCCUAUAUGUUUGUCUCAAAAGGAAAAUAUCACUUUCCAUAGACAUUUUCAGGUGUGUCUUUGAAAUGCAUGAGCUAGUUCAGUGUAAUGCAUUCGUCUAUUUUACAACCAGAGUUCCUUUGCAAUUUCCUAAAUUUAGAAAUUUGAAUAGCGGAUGGAAAUCCCGAUUCUUCUUCGUCCAGCCUUCAGCGGGUCGAUUAUCUUUCAACACCAAUUGGCGACACCCCAAAAUUUGCCUCUUCAAUAGUCAAGUAGAAGUUAUCCCCUUUCUAAAAGCUCAAAUCCAAGAGUUGGUUGAUGUAUCGCCUCUCGCACAUGACUUAGGAUCAGUCUUGACCAUGAAGAACAUGUUGAUAGUGGGGAUGAGUCGUCUUACUGGUAGGUUGUUUCCGUCGAUUUUUUUUAUCGCAUAAACACACAUUCACUUAUUAUUUUUUGCUUUUAGUUUUUUGGGACUAAUGAGUUUGGGUGUGUGCAUACAGAUAUGGACUUUGAUAUUGAUGAGGUAUUGAAGACACUGCCAGAAGGCGAUGAGGGCCUUGCUCCCGUUGAUGGUAAGCUUUUGUGUUCACCUCCAUUUUUUUUGUAUCCUCGUGCUUUUCUACCUUACGAUCUUAACGGAUUCUAACUUAUAUGUGCAGGGGCAGAGCUUGAUCUUGAAGGGAUCAUGGAUUCCAUGCCCAACUAGGGGCAGGGGCAGGGGGAUGGGCGGAUCCAUCACCUAUCCCUUCAAAGAGAAGGAGGAUGACUGAUCAAAAGGGAGGUCUCGGGCGAUCAAUGAGACCUCCCAGCCUCAAGACGAGCCUCGUGAGGUGGCUCCAGCUCCUAGGCUGGGUGCUUCCAGCCGUGCACAGUGUGAGCGCGAUGAUUCACUUCCCAACUUCGGGUUUCCUCCCACCCGGGCCUAUCAUGAGAUGGGGGUGCUCAAGUCUUUGGUGACGCCCACUCGAUCUAGAGCAAUUGCAGGGUGUAGUGCAGAUGGCAUUGAAAGGGCUACGGCUGUUUAUCUCCAGAGGGUACGUUUCCAAUUUCGCAUUUUUUUUUUCAUGUUGGGUCUUACCUUUUAAGCUUGGUUUUAACGCUUGACUUUUAUCUUACCUCCUCAUUUCUUAGGUGGUAGCUCUCCAGACUGAACUGGCUAAAUUGAAUCAUCGCCUGGCCUCGGAGUUGAAGACUCUUACUGAAGAAAAGAAAAAGGAGGCUCAUCAUUACAAGAAAAAGAUAUCCUCCUUGAAGAAAUCUCUGGAGACGUUGGAUGCUCGAGCUCACGAGCAGGAGACGGAGAAUAACAACUUGCGUUCUAUUUUGGCUCACGCUCCGGAAGAGGCAAUUGAGAGGUCUAAGGCCUCAGCUGAGUAUGCCAGAGAUCUCGAGGUAUCUGUGGAGCAGUAUAAGACGUCGUCCGAUUAUGCUAAGGCUUUGAAUUCAUAUGGGGGGAAGGCGAUGACAGCGUCUAUCAAACUCUCCAAGGAGUGGAUUAUGGUCAAGCAUCCUUCUAUAGACCCCUCUGGUCUAGAUAGAUUUCUUGUGCAGCGCGAUGGGAAGGAGAGUGGAGCAUAGUCAUCCAGGUCGCUUGGACGUUUAUCACAAGGUGGUAGUGGGGAUGUCUCCCCUUCGAGCUGAAGCAUUUCUUAGUUGUUGUUCCCUUUGCUAGCUUUUCCUUUUUCGUGUUUACUUUUGUUUAGUCUCAUUAUCUCCUACUUGUCCAGGAUGUGGGCAAGAGUUUCUCAUAUGUACAAGUACAUUUUUCGUUUGCUAUUAUUAGUGUUGAGUGCAUUGUUCUUUCAACUUGCCGUCUCUCAUGUCGUCCCUCUUCUUUUUCCUUUCAUUGUUUGAUGGUGCGGGGGAGUAGCUUUUUAUCGGGC